rnacentral:lncRNA from 1 species
AAAAAAAAAAAAAAGGCAGAAAGAACAAAAAGCAGUACAGGAAACUAAAAUGUGCAAGAAAAGGCAAAAAAAAAGAAAGAAAAAAAGAAUAAAAAGGCUUCGUGAGAAGUUCACGAAGCGAGAAAUAAAUGAUGAUGUGACCAAUGAAAAGGAAAGUUGUGACUCAUUUCUGAAAAGGUCCUCCUUCAAAGCAAGAGGAGACACAUUUCCACAAGAAGGGUGGAAAAUAGAAUACGCAGGGUGGGCUGAGCUGUUUCGAUAGAUUACACCUAAUAAUAUAGAAAGUAUGUCCUUAAUUUAGUUUGAAUGUUCUGCCAAUAUUUAUAAUUUUCUGCUUAUUUAAUAUCUACUGUGCUGCUGAAUGAGAAUAAUGUGCUUUUUUAUUAAUAUUUCACUGAACAGUUAAGAGGAAAAGUUUAAAGAGAACUGAUAUGACAUAUUGAUAGCUCUUUGGUAAUUGAUAAAAUCACAUUUUGUGCACUUAAUCUAAAUCCUCCUCUGUAGGUUUCUCGACCUGCGAAUCCUCCCAUGCAUUGUCUAGAACAGGAACCAGGUGUCUUCUUUAGUCACUUCUGAGAGGCAGCAGUGCAGAUAUGCUCGACGGCUGCUGGAUCGUUCGGAUGACUGCAGUGCUCUCCGUCGUCUGUCCUGCGUUUUCUGAGGCUCAGUUUAGCUUGAGGAAAAGGCGAGACUUCAAAUCAGGCUACAAAGAGUCACACUCGUGUGUAAGUGAGGGGAAGCCACUCUCCUGGAUAAUGCUGGCUGCAGGCUGUGGGCUAUUUGCUUUAUACAACCUCAUUGUGACAACUGUAGCCUGUUACUUUGGUAGGAAACUGAAAAAUGCAGAGACGGAGACUCAGAGCGAGUACUACAACACAAGGCCUGGAGAAUUCAGAAGAGCCAGAUGAGUUCAGAAUCCAGAUCCAGCUGCCCAAACCAAACGACCAAGAUGAUAAAAGCGGGAUCAUAUACAAUCAUAUGCUACUACAGUUUUUAAGUGCUUAUAUUGACAUAUCUAGCCUAUAUAGCAUCUAACUAGAAGUGCAAAUUGGCUAACAUAUAACAUAUAAUGUAACAUAUAAAUAAGUGCAAAAUGUAUGUGUGAAUGAGCUUAAUGAAGUAGAAUAUUUCAUGUGCAGGCAUGGAACAAUAUUAUGCAUAAAUGGAAAACAGCUAAAGUUAGCAGUGCAGAAUUAAAUAAAGAAAAAAGUGUGAACA